rnacentral:rRNA from 1 species
UGGGGAAUCUUGCGCAAUGGGCGAAAGCCUGACGCAGCAACGCCGCGUGAGCGAAGACGGCCUUCGGGUUGUAAAGCUCUGUCAGGAGGGACGAAGCCACUCGGGUGAAUAGCCCAGAGGGUGACGGUACCUCCAGAGGAAGCCCCGGCUAACUACGUGCCAGCAGCCGCGGUAAUACGUAGGGGGCGAGCGUUGUCCGGAAUCAUUGGGCGUAAAGCGCGUGUAGGCGGCCGAUCAAGUCCGAUGUGAAAGCUCGGGGCUCAACCCCGAGUCUGCAUUGGAAACUGCUCGGCUAGAGUCCGGAAGAGGAGACUGGAAUUCCUGGUGUAGCGGUGAAAUGCGCAGAUAUCAGGAAGAACACCGGUGGCGAAGGCGGGUCUCUGGGACGGUACUGACGCUG